rnacentral:rRNA from 1 species
UACAGAGGGUGCGAGCGUUGUUCGGAAUUAUUGGGCGUAAAGGGCGCGUAGGCGGUGCGGUAAGUCACCUGUGAAAUCUCCUGGCUCAACUGGGAGCUUGCAGGCGAAACUGCCGUGCUGGAGUGUGGGAGAGGUGCGUGGAAUUCCUGGUGUAGCGGUGAAGCGCGUAGAUAUCAGGAGGAGCACCUGUGGCGAAAGCGGCGCACUGGACCAUAACUGACGCUGAGGCGCGAAAGCUAGGGGAGCAAACAGG